rnacentral:rRNA from 1 species
UACGGAGGGGACUAGCGUUGUCCGGAAUUACUGGGCGUAAAGCGCACGUAGGCGGAUUUGUAAGUCAGGGGUGAAAUCCCGGGGCUCAACCUCGGAACUGCCUUUGAUACUGCAAAUCUCGAGUCCGGAAGAGGUGAGUGGAAUUCCUAGUGUAGAGGUGAAAUUCGUAGAUAUUAGGAAGAACACCAGUGGCGAAGGCGGCUCACUGGUCCGGUACUGACGCUGAGGUGCGAAAGCGUGGGGAGCAAACAGG